rnacentral:rRNA from 1 species
GGCGGACGGGUGAGUAAUACUUAGGAAUCUGCCCAUUAGUGGGGGACAACUAGAAGAAAUUCUAGCUAAUACCGCAUACGCCCUACGGGGGAAAGCGGGGGGAUCUUCGGACCUCGCGCUAAUGGAUGAGCCUAAGUCGGAUUAGCUUGUUGGUGAGGUAAAGGCUCACCAAGGCGACGAUCCGUAGCUGGUCUGAGAGGACGAUCAGCCACACUGGGACUGAGACACGGCCCAG